GAUGAACGCUGGCGGCGUGCCUAAUACAUGCAAGUCGAGCGAACAGACGAGGAGCUUGCUCCUCUGACGUUAGCGGCGGACGGGUGAGUAACACGUGGAUAACCUGCCUAUAAGACUGGGAUAACUUCGGGAAACCGGAGCUAAUACCGGAUAAUAUAUUGAACCGCAUGGUUCAAUAGUGAAAGACGGUUUUGCUGUCACUUAUAGAUGGAUCCGCGCCGCAUUAGCUAGUUGGUAAGGUAACGGCUUACCAAGGCAACGAUGCGUAGCCGACCUGAGAGGGUGAUCGGCCACACUGGAACUGAGACACGGUCCAGACUCCUACGGGAGGCAGCAGUAGGGAAUCUUCCGCAAUGGGCGAAAGCCUGACGGAGCAACGCCGCGUGAGUGAUGAAGGUCUUCGGAUCGUAAAACUCUGUUAUUAGGGAAGAACAAAUGUGUAAGUAACUAUGCACAUCUUGACGGUACCUAAUCAGAAAGCCACGGCUAACUACGUG
rnacentral:rRNA from 1 species